rnacentral:miRNA from 1 species
AUUGGGAGUUCAGGGCGCGGCU